ACACUGGUGGUGAAACGGUAUCAUGCUUGCCUUCCAACACCAAAGUUCACAGCAAGCGGCAGGGGUUCGACUCCCUUUCAGUGUA